rnacentral:sRNA from 1 species
AUUGGGAAGGCAGAUAAAAUGCCAGGUCUGGACUGCCUCUGGGCAUAACCUCACCCUGUGGGAUGUGAAUGAAUAGCAUCUUGCCUGGUAAAUCCACAGGAAUUGAUAAGGCAGGCGCAGUUCUCCCAAACAGGCCUUUUCUCUUUAAGCUGUAGCUGUGGUUUCUGCAGCAAUUUUGUUUUUGCCUUGAAAGAGGUGCUCUGGAUUAUCAGACCUCCAUGUAUGACAAUUUGUACCUGCAUGGAAUUGAAGACUCGGAGGCUGGUUCAGCGGAUUCCUACACAAGCAGGCCGUCUGACUCCGAUGUCUCUUUGGAAGAGGACCGGGAAGCAAUUCGACAGGAGAGAGAACAGCAAGCAGCUAUCCAGCUUGAGAGAGCAAAGUCCAAACCUGUAGCAUUUGCCGUGAAGACAAAUGUGAGCUACUGCGGCGCCCUGGAUGAGGAUGUGCCUGUUCCAAGCACAGCUAUCUCCUUUGAUGCUAAAGACUUUCUACAUAUUAAAGAGAAAUAUAACAAUGAUUGGUGGAUAGGAAGGCUGGUGAAAGAGGGCUGUGAAAUUGGCUUCAUUCCAAGUCCACUCAGAUUGGAGAACAUACGGAUUCAGCAAGAACAAAAAAGAGGACGUUUUCACGGAGGGAAAUCAAGUGGAAAUUCUUCUUCAAGUCUUGGAGAAAUGGUAUCUGGGACAUUUCGAGCAACUCCCACGUCAACAGGUGAGGGUUGUAGUUAAACUCUUUUUCAUACACUGUAUUCCUUUUAAAAAUAUUUGAACACACAUGCAAGUAUUUUUGCUAAUUUGGAAACAAUUUGAAGGCUUAAUUUAAAGAUUUCUCUAAUUAAUAUUUCAUUUCUCAUUUGUUUUCUAUGGUAAUUUGAUUUCAUUUAAAAUGGUAUUAAAAAUUCAUGUCAUUAGAAUAUAAUUUUGAAAAAUCUUAUUUACCCCUCAGAGUUAAUAACUGUCCAUUGUGUAAAUUGAUAUUCAAAAAAUUCAUUAUUUUACCUAAGAAGCGGACAGAGUUUAAGAUGGUGAAGGCCAAUAAAAAAAGGAAAAAAAUUAUGCAGACUCUCAAGAAAAUGCUGUUUUCAGUCUCCAUGUGGAAUUUCAGGAUGUAUUAGUACAGCCCGAGCUGAAAGGGUUGAAGCAGAGAGUAAGGCAGGGCCCAAAGGAGGGAGGGUCUCAUUUACAUUUGGACAGCAGACAGCCAAGCCCUGGAAUUAAUGGUAAUGAAGAGAUAUUGGUGGCCUAAUAGGGAGUUGUGGUACAUUUGGAAACGAUGGAGUUAUUCAUGUAGGAAUUUUUCUUCUACCACAUUCCCUGAUUCCUAUCGGCUAAUUUCAUUCUGGCCUAGAACUGCUGUUGCAUUAGGGCAUCCAGUGUCCUAGUUACCAAUUCCAAUUGUAUUACCAAUUUGGAAUGGCAAGUCCAAGGCCCUAUUCUGGCCUACCAAAACUGGAGGCAACUGGAUUGGUUCUGGAGUGGUUCUAAGUGUCUGGGUCCUUGUUCAUGUGAAGCCCUCUUAUCUACAGGACACUGAACCAAACCAGGUUUCUGAGUUGUACCCAACUAGACUGGAGCUGCUUGGAUGUCCACAGAAUCGCUUUAAAUCAGUUAUUGAGUAUAUUUUGCUUCGUUCCCAUUUGUUGGACAUUCAGGACAUUGAACACUUUAGCUAUUACAAACAGGAAAGAACAGGAAUAACUCAUUAUAAAUUUAUCUGAGGAAUAACUGGUUAUAAAUGUAUUUGAAAUUUAAAAGCAAGAUAGUAGGGAAAAUGUGCCAAUAUUCUAGAAAAUGGGCAAAAAUGCCCAAGGGACUGCAGAAUUAUGAGUUAACAAAUAUAAAAAUAACUAUUGAUUGAGGUGAUAGUCAUUUUUGCCCAAGUGGUUAUUCUGUUUCCUUUUAUGAAAUUGCAUUUGUCUACCUUGUUCCCAGCAACACUGUGCUGUGUCCAGCACGGGAACAACCCAUGGUGAAUGGCUGGCCCGGAACUUCCAGUGUUGCUCUCAACUCCUGUACCCAACUCCCACCCAGUGAGAAAUCAGGAUAUAAGGUCAUUUGUACCAGGGAGGAAGCUGUCUGUUUUUCAUACAUCUUCAAAAUUGACGUGUCCAGAAUGAAAUCAUAAGGCAGGUUCUCCAAAGUGGGCGAUAGGAAGGUGGUGAAGAUAAUUACAGGGACAAAUGGGUACAUUCUUCCAUCUUUUAAACUCAUGUACUGUCAUUUGCAGAGAUUACAUAUUUUGAUAUGGCUCUCAUUAUUGUCUUUUAGCAAAACAGAAGCAAAAAGUGGUAAGUUGUGUUUCCUUUUUAAAUCUACUGUUAAGGUUCCUAUAUAUACAUGCCUGCAAUGCUCCAUUUCAGUGACCCAAGUGGCUAUAAAAUAAGGGAAGAGCCUCCUCGGUGGGGACUUCGAUAAUCAUUUGUCGUUCAACCUGAGAAUUAUGAAUGUUGUGGCUGUGGAGAGGCAUGCUCAACCUCACCUUGUCACGCGUGUCGAAUCAUCUUUUUCAGACGGAGCACAUUCCUCCUUACGAUGUUGUGCCGUCAAUGCGUCCGGUGGUGUUAGUGGGGCCGUCACUGAAAGGUUACGAGCGGAAGUACAAAGUGAAAUUGAAAGAAUCUUUGAGUUGGCAAGAUCUUUGCAACUGGUCGUUCUUGAUGCAGACACCAUCAAUCACCCAGCACAACUUAUAAAGACUUCCUUAGCACCAAUUAUUGUUCAUGUAAAAGUCUCAUCUCCAAAGGUUUUACAGCGGUUGAUUAAAUCUAGAGGAAAGUCACAAAGUAAACACUUGAAUGUUCAACUGGUGGCAGCUGAUAAACUUGCACAAUGCCCCCCAGAAAUGUUUGAUGUUAUAUUGGAUGAAAAUCAGCUUGAGGAUGCGUGUGAACAUCUAGGGGAGUACCUGGAGGCGUACUGGCGUGCCACCCACACAACCAGUAGCACACCCAUGACCCCGCUGCUGGGAAGGAAUUUGGGCUCCACGGCACUCUCACCAUAUCCCACAGCAAUUUCUGGGUUACAGAGUCAGCGAAUGAGGCACAGCAACCACUCCACAGAGAACUCUCCAAUUGAAAGACGAAGUCUAAUGACCUCUGAUGAAAAUUAUCACAAUGAAAGGGCUCGGAAGAGUAGGAACCGCUUGUCUUCCAGUUCUCAGCAUAGCCGAGAUCAUUACCCUCUUGUGGAAGAAGAUUACCCUGACUCAUACCAGGACACUUACAAACCCCAUAGGAACCGAGGAUCACCUGGGGGAUAUAGCCAUGACUCCCGACAUAGGCUUUGAGUCUAAUGAAACAAAAAAUAUUCAUCUGUUGACAAUUUGCCAUAGCAGUGCUAGGAUAAACCAAUCAUCUUAACUUGGCUAACAUAGCACAGUAUUUACUGUGCUAAUGGGCUGCUGUCAUUUUAUGCUAAGUAAGGGGCAAAAAAAAAAUUACAUUAUGCCCUUGAGUCUAGAUGGAUAUUAGAUGCCCGAUCAUAUAGAUAUUUUUAAGUGCAACAUUUACAUGAUAACAGUACAUUUUGUUUUCUUCAUAGAUUUAGACACAUCAAUUUGUAAUUUAGGGUACUUACAAGGCACAUAUAAAAUAAUUUCCCAUGCCGGAAAUUCCAAAUGACCAGUUCCAGUUGGAACCAAUUUAUAAACCAAUUCCUGUUGGAAUUUGGGUGAAUUGACUAGAAAGUCUACUUGAGCAUGUUGUAAUCAACUGAAAAAUCUGGGGGAAAAAAAAAAAAACUAAUAAGAAAAUCGAAAUACCAAUAGAAGCCAAAUCCAGCUUUGGUAUUUAUUUGCUGGAAGCUAAAUUUACACUUAAAGUUGGAGUGUAUAAACAUUUUAAUAUAUGUUAAUGUUGCCAGAAUGACUUUUCAAACUUACCAAAUGUAUUGAUAGUGCCAAAAAAAAUCUCAGAAAUCUUAAUGCAGAAAUUAUAUAGUCUCCUCAGAUUUUAAUAUUUUUCUUUCUUUCCUGGCACAGCUGUUGUAUUCAAAGUGUUUUGCUUUUUGUUUGGUCAGUACUGUUAGCUCAUUUGAAGUUGGCAAAAACAAAUACAAACAAGCAAAAAACCUCAAAUUUUUUUCAGCAGUGAGAGAGAAUAGUAAAGAGAGGCCCAAGCAUAGCUGUUAUGUGAAAUAUAAAAUGGGGUGUUGUUCUCCCUUUAAUCAAUCUGAGCACAACUACAUACAUCCAGGAAUCUGAAGUCAGAUAGUAAGGAUGUGGUACCAAUCCUCCCGAGUGCAAUGCUAAACACUUCCAGGUGGGAAUUCAUCUAUUUCACUUAACACAAACGCAGGGUCUGUAUUUCCUGCCAACAAGAUUGAGUAUCUUUCCAUUGCUUCUCUCAGUCUCUGUCUUUGAAUAUCUGAAUGUUCUGGCCCUUCAACAAAUUCUUUAAAUCAUGCUAAGGAAUUUCGUUUUAUGUGGACACACUCAACUUUGAUAUUCAGGAGGUGUUUUUACAAAAUGACUGAUUGAAAAAAGUUGAAACAAAUGAUUUUAAAAGCUUGCAGUAAAAAAUAAACUCAUAGAUUCAGCAAAUAUUUGUUGACUAAAAUUAUAGCAUUUUUAAUGCAGAAAAUUAUAAAGAAUUUGGAGAUUGAGCUGCCUUAUUUCUAAUGAACACUCCUCUUCAUCUUAUUAAGUCUUCACAGUUUUUCCAGUGGCUAUAAUUAUGGAAUUGGUGACCUAUAUUUUAUAUUAUCAAGGAAGCCUUAGAUUCACUCUGAUCCAAGAAAUUAUUGAAAUUGACCCUUUUUACACAAAUGUCUUUAAAAAAAAAACUUAUUUCUAAACGUCCAUAGUGCAUGCAUUUUCUAAAACCCCAAUAAGUCCAGCCAUAAAAGUUCUUUUCUGCUAGUACAUGUCAUGAAGCCUAUUUUUGAAAAUAAUGAUAAUUAAUUUUAUAGUAUCUUCUUUUCUCCCCAAGCCUUUCAGUAUUCAGGCACUCAAAGCAUGCACCAGUUCAGUAAUCUUCUUGACCAUGGAAAUAAGUUCCACAUUACUGAUGAGUUAUAUAUAUAUCUUGAACCCCAUUACAACCUCACCACAUCCCCCUGCAUUUAUGUUCAGUGUUUGUACCCCAUUAUGAACCUGUUUAGCUGAUAAUGAGGAUACCUAUAAUUCUGUAAGUCAUUUCAAAUAUUUGAUACAAUUAAAAAAUAUGGGCUUAGUAAAUUUUAAAAGUUAACAUGUGAUACUGGCUUGUGAGAUUCUUCUGUCAUCUAGUGAAGCUUAUAAAACUUUCAGUUAAGACAUUUUAAAAGAGUUAUAUCCAUUAGGCACUUUAAUAAACAUAUAACCUGCCAUUACUGAAUACUUUGUUAGAACACAGAAGAGCAUCUUCCAGCAAACAAAAAUAUAUUUAUUACAUGUACAGCAUAUACUUGCAUGAGAAAGAAAACAUUAGCCAAAACAUUUUUUUAUAUGCUUUACUGGUUUCUUGUUUGUGCGCAUUAAAGUAUUUAAUUGCAAAGAGUGCACCAAGGUGUACAAAUUUAGACUAGACAGCUGUUCAGCUUUUUCUGUAGUAGCAUUAGCAGUUUGGUCAUUUAACUACUUUAAGAUACUUACAUUUUAUGGCAGGUAGCUGUAACAGCAUUUAAAUAUAUUUCCUAGUCAUCAAGAUUACCAUCUUCUUUCAACUUUUUAAAAGUCACUUGUUUUUAAAGGUUUUUCAAAGCCUUGUUUUUAGUCUUCCAUGUCAUGCCGAUAAAGAGAGUCUCAUUCAAUAUCUGUGCACAAAACCAAUCUAUCAAUUACCAUCAGAUGUCCAUACCUGUUUUGCUUUGCAUUCUUAUUCAAAAGCUGACAAUCUUGGAAAGGGUAUAAUGUAUAUUUUAUUGAUGGAUAUAUUUAAAUGUUUACUUUAAUUUGGAAUAUUCUUUCCCCUUCCUUCUGUAAUAAGUUUAUCUUCCUCAAAUAAGGGGAUAUACAUCUUAUUUUUUUUAAAGACUUAAGAGUUUAUUGUGUAAAUGAUACUUAAAAUCUAGAUAUAUACUAAAUGAAAAGUUUUAUUUUUGCCAAGCACACCAAGAACCUUUGAAAAAUACAUACUCCAUAAAUACUUUGUUUUUAAUUAAUUUCAUUUAAAGAUAGCAAAUGAUUAUAAGCAAGAGAAACAAGUCUUUUACUGUUUUGAGACUGUUUUAACUUACAGUAUAAGCCACAUACUAGAAUUCUGUAAUUUCAGUCACAGACAUAUAAUAAUGUGGACUCAUGUGACAAUGUGGAAAUGUAGUUCUGGAAAAAAACGAAUGCAAUUUGUCAAUCCUGAUGUUAAUUCUCAAGGGUAUAAUGUCACUCUAAUAUUAUAGCCAACAACAUUAUCUUGUUUAAUAUUUAAAGCAACAUUUAGAAAUGUUUAUAAAUGAUGAUUCUCUCUUAUCUUUAUACAGUUCUAUUGGAGAGAAGGUUGAAAUUGUUCACAAUUUAGAUGAUGGUCUUUCCUAAUAAGAGUCUUAAUUUUGUGACUAUAUAAGUCAUUGCAGUUAGUCUUUAAUGAAAUGAAUUUUAUUAAUGUAAAACAAAUUCUGAGACAAUUAUUUGUUUCCUUUAAAUAAUUUGCUAUUUAAUUAUUAUUGUCAUUGUUUGCAAAAUGUAUUUUUGGAAUGUUAACCUCUUUUCAUACCUGCAUACUUGAACUUGUCUUUUGUGUGGGGGCCUUAAAAUUCAUAAUAGGAAGUGGAGGCAGUGAAAGGAAGUAAGAAAAGGAAAUUAUGCUAAAAGAUGGUUUGCAAAUUUAAACUCUUUAAAUGAACAUAUCACAAAAUGUUGUUAAGACCCAGGAUGUCUGUUAAGAAUGUGUCUUGGCAACCUUAAUUUGCAUGUUAGUAUAUAUUUUCUUAGUUACACAGUUUUAUUUUGGUAUUUGCUUAAAAAAAUGUAAUACCAUUGUAGAAAUUACCCUAUGUACUGAUAUAUUUACUACCUCUUCUCUAGAGAAGACAAUCUGUCUUUAAAGGGAAAAACACUGGUCAAUAAGUAGUGAUCAAAAUUAUCACUAUUCUGGCUAACCUUGCUGCAAAGCUAAAUGCAUAGAUUAUUAAAAUAUGCCUUCCCUUUAGAUUUUAAAAUGUUUCCAAAAUGCUCUUUGGCACCCUUUCAUUUCUUCCACGUUAGUGAAGUUUUCUUUGAAUUGGUUCAGUUUAUCAUGAGGCAAGGUUAAUUUAACAAAUAAGUCAUCAUAGGGAACAAAACAAACUGCAAGGGAAUUGCCUUUGUGUGCAACUUGUUAUAAUAUCUAGUUCUAAGUCUAAAGGAGUAAAAGUCCAAAGACUUUAUGUUUAAGAGCAGCUGGUUUGCAAAUUCACAUUUUGUUGGUCCUUGACUUCCACAGAGCAUGACUUAGCCAUUUACUGGGUAAGGAUAUGCAUUAUCUUGGACUCCCAUGUAAUUGGAAUAAACUUCAUAUCAAUGUUUCAAAUAAAUGCUAUGUACCCCUUAUUCCUUUUAUAUUUCUGCCUUUGUCUUUUAUGACAAUGUUGCAUGUUGUGUUUUUUUAAAUUAUAUAAAACUCAUCCUUGAAUGACUAUAUGAAUGAAAAAUUUAUAGGAAAUUAUGUAAUAAAAUCUGUUUUAUUAGUUUCUCAUACCUUUAAAUACUGUCAAUACUAUAACUGUUAGUAAGUUACUUACUCAAGCUGUGUCUGUGGGGCAGAGAACAGUCCUCUUCUUUAAAAUAAUCAUGAUCAAACCAGUCAAGUCAAUCCAAUUAGCUGUUAGACAGACAAUAAGGAUAACCUUCUUUUUGACUUAAGCAGUCAAGUUAGUCAAAAUAGAAAAAUUGGCUUAUAUGGGCACCCAGAACUACAGCAUUCAAAAAUUACUUUUAAAGGUUUCUUCUUUUAUUAAAAUGGACUUUCUUAAAUAAAAUACAUCCUCUGAUAGCAGCUAUCUCUUUUUACUUGUAAUGAUUAAUUCUAAAUGCUUCAUGUAAUUGAGAGACAUUAUGAGAAGACUAGAAAGUAUCUCAUCAGAUAAUCCUAAGGGCUGUAACUUCUACUUGCCAUAAACAAAGUAUAAUUAAGAGUGAGUAGCAAUUGGUUUGGGGAGUCGUAGUUAUAUAUGAAACUUUCUUUUGUUUCUCAUGAUGUAUGUAAAAUGUUUGCAGAAGGAUGGUAGAAAAUGUUACUAAUGAAUUUAGAGUGGUUUGGGAGAAUACACUGAUACUUCCUCAUUUGAAAAUUAUAAGGAGUUACAAGGGGAACUAAGAACCAGAAGUGGCUGGCCUCUAGCUUUUCAAUACUUGAUAAGUGUUCUUGGUUAUGUUUUGAACACUUAAAUUUCUCAACAAAUGGCUACGUCUAUAUUUAUGUAGGGGCCACCCUUGCCCUACUUGCAUGCCACUUUGACUUUUAACUGAAAUCAGUGUGAAUUCUGUAUGCAUAAGGGAUGUAAUAAAGAGGCGGGAUCAUUAACGCUAUAUCGUUGCAUACUAUUUUUCAUAUGCCUUACAAUAUUUUCUGGGAUGUUAUUAAAAUGAAAGCAUUUUAUUGCCAAAAUAAAUCUAUGUUGUUACUUAUAAUCUGCAUUAGCAGUAGAAAAAUAAUGUAGCAAAAACAUAUUGUACAGUACAAAAUUAUAA